rnacentral:lncRNA from 1 species
GUUUCCAAAACUUCUUCUAUCAUCCCAAACAGAAACACUGUGACUAUUAAAAAACAACUUCCUGCCAGCCCCUGGUAUCCUUUUCAUAGCUGAAUAAUAUUCCACUAUACAUAUAUAACACAUUUUGUUUAUUUACUCAUGUGUUACUUAAGCACUAAAAAUAGAUCUGUCCCUCCACCCAACAACCACUGAUACUUUUACUCUCUCCAUUGAUUUGCCUUUUCCAAAAUGUCAUGUAGUUAAAAUCAUGCAAUAUGUA